AAGAAAGUAGAAAAGGGCGCAAGGUGGAUGCCUUGGCUCACGGAGGCGAUGAAGGACGUGAUAAGCUGCGAUAAGCCUCGGGUAGGUGCAAAUAACCUUUGAUCCGAGGAUUUCCGAAUGGGACAACCCGGCCGUCUGAAGGACGGUCACUGCGCAAUAGCGCAGGGCAAACGCAGGGAACUGAAACAUCUUAGUACCUGUAGGAAGAGAAAAUAAGUUAAUGAUUCCCCUAGUAGUGGCGAGCGAACGGGGAAGAGCCCAAACCAUGAUUGUAGCAAUGCAACCAUGGGGUUGUAGGACCACGCUGUAG
rnacentral:rRNA from 1 species